rnacentral:misc_RNA from 1 species
GGACCAAAGAAAUAUCCUUUAAUGUCUAGAGUUUUUGGUUCUUUGAUUGGAUUUGAUAAGGAUUUGCAGGCCAGCAAUCCCUUUGAUGGUUGCCGCCACAUCAAUCAUCAAAGAAGAUUUUUAAGAAGCAACCGUUUCCAUGGCAAUUUUUAUAACUGCACAACAUGGCGGCCCCUGGGGGUUUAUCAGGUUGACUUCUAUAUGAUGCACAUCACUGCGGAGCAU